GGGCUCGCAGGCGGUUUCUUAAGUCUGAUGUGAAAGCCCCCGGCUCAACCCGGGGAGGGUCAUUGGAAACUGGGGAACUUGAGUGCAGAAGAGGAGAGUGGAAUUCCACGUGUAGCGGUGAAAUGCGUAGAGAUGUGGAGGAACACCAGUGGCGAAGGCGACUCUCUGGUCUGUAACUGACGCUGAGGAGCGAAAGCGUGGGGAGCGAACAGGAUUAGAUACCCUGGUAGUCCACGCCGUAAACGAUGAGUGCUAAGUGUUAGGGGGUUUCCGCCCCUUAGUGCUGCAGCUAACGCAUUAAGCACUCCGCCUGGGGAGUACGGUCGCAAGACUGAAACUCAAAGGAAUUGACGGGGGCCCGCACAAGCGGUGGAGCAUGUGGUUUAAUUCGAAGCAACGCGAAGAACCUUACCAGGUCUUGACAUCCUCUGACAAUCCUAGAGAUAGGACGUCCCCUUCGGGGGCAGAGUGACAGGUGGUGCAUGGUUGUCGUCAGCUCGUGUCGUGAGAUGUUGGGUUAAGUCCCGCAACGAGCGCAACCCUUGAUCUUAGUUGCCAGCAUUCAGUUGGGCACUCUAAGGUGACUGCCGGUGACAAACCGGAGGAAGGUGGGGAUGACGUCAAAUCAUCAUGCCCCUUAUGACCUGGGCUACACACGUGCUACAAUGGACAGAACAAAGGGCAGCGAAACCGCGAGGUUAAGCCAAUCCCACAAAUCUGUUCUCAGUUCGGAUCGCAGUCUGCAACUCGACUGCGUGAA
rnacentral:rRNA from 1 species